CAUGAGAGAAAUGACAAGUACAAUGAAAGAGAAGUUUGAUAAAUAUUGAGGUGAGAGUAAUUUAAUGAUGUCUAUUGGGGCAGUGAUGGAUCCAAGAUUCAAGAUGAAACUCAUUUCUCAUUGUUUUCCGAUUAUUUAUCCUCUUGAUGGUCAAAGUGAGAUGAAUCUUGUGCAUUUAAAAACUGUCUUGCGUGAUCUAUAUCAAGAAUAUGUUGCUGAAGAUUUGAGAAUUAAAGGCAUGAGCUUGGAAUCAACUCAUAUUUCUUCUUCGGAUAAUAAUCUUUUAUCGGAAGACUUAGAAACUCCAGCAGGUAUGAGUGAAUAUGAAGCUUUCAUUCGUGAUAGUGGGGCAGCCACUGAACCAGUGAAGUCAGAAUUUGAUGAAUACUUGUCUGAAAAUAUAUUUAUUCCGAAUGAAACUUCAAUAAAGUAUUUAAUUUGAUGUCCUGGCCUGGUGGAAAGGAAACAGCGGCAAAUAUCCAGUUUUAUCGCGAAUGGCACGUGAUAUGUUAGUUGUUCCUAUGAGCACAGUUGCUUCAGAAGCAACAUUCAGUGCUGGUGGUAGAGUUAUUGAGCCUCAUCGCUCAUGUUUAAAAAGUGAAACUGUGGAAAUGCUGAUAUGUGGUGCUGAUUGGGCUCGAGCAUUAUAUGGACUAAAAAAAGCAUGUCAUAAGAAACAAAUAAAGCCUGUCGAGAUUAAUUUGUAUGACUAAGCUAUAUUUGGAAUGCAAAAAGGUUUUAUUUUGCUGCUUGUUUUUGCUGAUGGAACACUUUGCUUAUGGUCUGGAACACUGGAUGUUAAUUUUAGAAGUGAUCCUGACAUAGUUAAUAUAUUUGCACUACUUCCUGAUUAGUUAAUAUUUUGUAAUCUGUAGUGACUAUUUAUAUUUUAAGUCACCAGUCCUAGUAUUAGUAUUAUUCAGAAGUCCAUGCAAGUGAUGUAACCUAUUGAAAUCUAGAUCAAGAAUUCAAGAUGUUAUUGAUAUACUCCCUCUGUUCCAGUGAAUUGUAUACAGUUUCCAUUUUGGGACGUCCCAUCAAUUAUAUACAUUCUAAAAGUAGUAAACUUUUAUAAUAUAAAAUAUCAUUACACCAACUACUUUCCUCCACUAUCUCUAUUCUAUAAUAAUAUAAACACUAUUACAUCCACUACU